GACGGGUGUGGAGCUCCCCGGGCGAGGCUUUCUGUCCCCUGUCCCCUCAGUCAAGCCUGUCCUGGUCACCAGCCUCCCCCAGAAGCUCAGUGUGAAGAGGACCCACUGGAACCUCUUCAGGUGCGCCUACAUGAUGGUGACCUUCCUCUUCGUGUCCUACAACAGAGGAGACUGGGAACGACCCCUGCUGUGCUUUCUAGUGCGCGUCCUUCUGCCCAACUCAACCUUCAGGGGCCUCCACCUCCCAGAGAAUCCUCUGUCCCCUGGAUGGCCAGCGUGGAGGGUGGCAGCAGCUCUGUCUGCCUCUUUGAGGCCGCGUUAGAGGAUGGGCCCAGAGUAGCCGAGUGAACCUCUUGGGGGGUCUCCAGACAUUGCCGAUCCCCCCAAUUAAAUGCACACUUGUUGAAUGGC
rnacentral:lncRNA from 1 species